AAAGGCUUGCUGAUAGCGUUCACAGUGACAGCCCGAAAGUAUGAUUCUAAGGGCCAUGGGUCUGGAUUUCCAGGAAAGCGGAGACCUCGAGGUGCAGGACUGUCGGGGCGAGGUGGCCGAGGCAGGUCAAAGCUGAAAAGUGGAAUCGGAGCUGUUGUAUUGCCUGGGGUGUCUACUGCAGAUAUUUCAUCAAAUAAGGAUGAUGAAGAAAACUCUGUGCUCGAUAUGGUUGUGUUGUUUUCUAGCAGUGACAAGUUCACUUUGAAUCAGGAUAUAUGUGUAGUUUGUGGCAGUUUUGGCCAAGGAGCAGAAGGAAGAUUACUUGCCUGUUCUCAGUGUGGUCAGUGUUACCAUCCAUACUGUGUCAGUAUUAAGGUGUGUUUGAUGCAGACACUGUGGAGCGACAUCUGCAGGUCUAAGAUGUGAAUGGCAGAACAAUUACACACAGUGCGCUCCUUGUGCAAGUUUAUCUUCCUGUCCAGUCUGCUAUUGAAACUAUAGAGAAGAAGAUCUUAUUCUGCAAUGAAGACAAUGUGAUAGAGACAGAGUCUUGUUCUGUCGCCAGGCUGGAGUGCAG